CAGAUGGUUUUGUCUUCUGCGAGGGUUUCUUAACCUUCUCAGCUUGCAACUCCCAUACCUCCUCCGAGGGCUACAGUUUCCUUUUCAAGCAUGUUGUGCAUGUGUCCUCUGCAACAAAAUUAUCAAUGGUUGUAUUAACUUAAAAAUAAGAAAGUAAAAAAGAUUAACUAUAAGUUAUCUAUUAUCAAGAUUCAUACAGAAGUCUUAACUAAAUUUCACAUUCUCUUUCCAUUGCAAGGUCAAAUCAAGUUUCCCAGUAAAGAUAACUGUUAGCACUACGAAAGGAAAAAUCCAAGGAUUCCUAGCAGCACUAAUGAGCAAAUGGAACUCUUAACCGUUCUGCUUCAGUGUACAUAGUGAUUUCCCUACAUCAUCAGAGACCAAGUUGUGUUUUACAAUUGAUCUACAAGAGCAACUUCACUAAAUCGAAAAUCUGAGGCCUAACAACAAUAAGGCAUACAUAUUUGCUAAUAAAAAGCUAAAUCUUUGUUCGUUCCAAGAAAAGAGUCCUCUAUUAUAACUGAACAGCAGACGUUAUUCAUGAACAAAGAAUAAAAAUCACGUUUGCUGCAUAUGUUUUCUAUUAAAACAGAUAUUUUCUGUUCUCCCACCAGUGGAAUAUGCGCUAUAUUUUGAAUUAAUUUUUUUAAUUGUGUAAUAUUUGAGAACAUUGUCUUUCACGCACUACAAACACACAUAAUAAAACAUAUAGACUAUUUUGAGUUAAAUUUAUAAUAGGUGUAAUAUUUGAGGACAAAGUCUUUCACGCGCUUCAAACACACAUGAUAAAACAAUAGAUAAGUCGAAUAGGGAAGAUAAAACAUAAAAUGGCGAUAUGUUGAAAACUAAAAGAUAAAUGCACUCAAAAAACAAACAAAACAUAAGAUAACAAAAACAGAACAAAGGCAAUUUGUGGUAUCUUUGGACUACUUGAAAUAUUAAAGUUAUCCUCCUACAUCUAAAGCAAAGUUAAACUCUACUGUUAGAGAAUCGGAAGGAACCUCUAUUUUCUCGAUUAAUAAAUAGAAUUUUCUAAAAGCAUCUCCACAAUGGAAAACAAAAAUGCAUAAAAUGUGAAAAAUUAAAGUUUAACCUAUCUACAGUAAUCUAGAGUACAACGUAUCUGCACAAACGAAACACGAGUUGAUUUAUAAAAAUAUUUCCCAGGCAAAUAAGCAUUCGGAGCAUCUAAUUACAAUCUUGAGUAUCAAAAAGCACAAGUCUCCUAACUGGGUAUCUGAAAUAAAAAUUGUGGACUUACUCUAAACAAAAAUGAGUCAGGCAUAUCAUCUCUUUGGGUGCAUAGUCCGUUUCAAUGAUUAUUAUUAUUAAUAAUCACAUUAUGAAACAGGAAAAAGCAUAGAGAUUGAAACUCAAACUGGUAAAGCAAUCAUACCAUGCGUAUAUUGGCAGUAACCACAGAUCAGCCCAUCCUCCCUCUCUUGUUGUUCAUCUCCAAUUUCAGAAUGCAUCUUUAGAUAGAUUAAUCUGCAGAAACAAAAAUAGCGUAAAUCAAGAGUCCCAAUCUUCGAACGAACUUUGAUACUAAUUUUUUUUUGAUAAUACCGUUUAAUCCUGAACUGAUUAAUUAGUAGCAGAAGACAAAUUUUAUCAAAAAACCAUAAUAAAUGAGCAUAUCAGGAAUACUUACUGACAUGUAUGUAAAAAGUCUAGAAAGAAUUAUGCAAAACAGAAGAAAGCUAACAUUCACCAAUCAAAAUUUGGUUUAGCAAUAGAAGAAGUGCAAAACAUAGAGAAAACUGCACCAAACAACUAACUAAAUUAGAGAGCUCGCAGCAGAUUCAAAUAGAAAAAAGAUUAAAAAACUAUUUGCAGGGGCCAAUAGGAGAA
rnacentral:lncRNA from 1 species